AAGUGUGAACUAAAAAGUGCGCUUCGACCACACUUAAGGAGAAAUUCUUCCACACUUU
rnacentral:tRNA from 1 species